rnacentral:misc_RNA from 1 species
GAUGAAGAACGUAGCGAAAUGCGAUACGUAAUGUGAAUUGCAGAAUUCAGUGAAUCAUCGAAUCUUUGAACGCAUAUUGCGCUCUCUGGUAUUCCGGAGAGCAUGCUUGUUUGAGUAUCAGUAAACACCUCAACCUCCAUAUCUUUUUUGAAAUGGGAGUUGGACUUGAGUGAUCCCAACGCUUUUCCUUACCGAAAAGUGGCGGGUUACUUGAAAUGCAGGUGCAGCUGGACUUUUCUCUGAGCUAUAAGCAUAUCUAUUUAGUCUGCCUAAAAAACAGAUUAUUACCUUUGCUGCAGCUAACAUAAAGGAGAUUAGUUCUUGUGCUGACUGAUGCAGGAUUCACAAAGACGGCUUCGGCCGACUUUGUAAACUCGAUCUCAAAUCAAGUAAGACUACCCGCUGAACUUAAGCAUAUCAAUAAGCGGAGGA